rnacentral:rRNA from 1 species
GUCCACGCCCUAAACGAUGUCUACUAGUUGUCGGGUCUUAAUUGACUUGGUAACGCAGCUAACGCGUGAAGUAGACCGCCUGGGGAGUACGGUCGCAAGAUUAAAACUCAAAGGAAUUGACGGGGACCCGCACAAGCGGUGGAUGAUGUGGAUUAAUUCGAUGCAACGCGAAAAACCUUACCUACCCUUGACAUGGAUGGAAUCUUCGAGAGAUUGGAGAGUGCCCGAAAGGGAACCAUUACACAGGUGCUGCAUGGCUGUCGU